AAGUCGUAACAAGGUUUCCGUAGGUGAACCUGCGGAAGGAUCAUUAACACGUCUAAAUAACAACUACACGUGAACAAAAAAACGCCUUGGAUGUGGUGUACAAGCAGCAAUGUUCGUACAUCCUCUAAGGUUCUCCGCUGUCUGUAACAGGAUAGCAGAGGCGGUAGUUAUAUAAGCUUGCUUGUAUACCUACCGUUGCCGUUCUACACAAUUUGAUAAUUAAUUUGUGAAUAUCACACCAAAAUAUAACACUUUCAACAGUGGAUAUCUUGGCUCCCACAACGAUGAAGAACACAGC
rnacentral:misc_RNA from 1 species